GUUGAACGCUGGCGGCAUGCCUAACACAUGCAAGUCGAGCGAACACAUGAUGUGCUUUCUCCUCUUACUUGCGCGGCGCACACGUGAGUGACAUGUGUAGAAACUACCUCUAUGGCUGGGAUAACUUCGGCAAAAGGUAAGCUAUACCGGAAUAUAACUUGAACCUCAUGGUUCAAUAGUGAAAGACGUUUUUCCAUUGAAUUAGAGAUUGACCCAUGCCGCAUUAGCUAGUUGGUAGGGUAACGGCUUCCCAAGGCAACGACCAGUAGCCGACCUGAGAGGAUGAUCAGCCACACUGGGACUGAGGAACGGCCCAGACUCCUACGGGAGGCAGCAGUAGGGAAUGUUGGGCAAUGGGCGAAAGCCUGACCGAGCAAUGCCGCGUGAGUGAUGAAGGCCUUCGGGUUGUAAAACGCUGUUGUUCGGAAAGAACUAAUUUUUGUGAAUCCCUGCAGGUCAUGACGGUACCGGAAGAAAAAGCACCGGCUAACUACGUG
rnacentral:rRNA from 1 species